rnacentral:rRNA from 1 species
AUUGAACGCUAACGGCGUGCUUAACACAUGCAAGUCGAACGGCAGCACAGUAUGUAGCAAUACAUAUGGGUGGCGAGUGGCGGACGGGUGAGUAAUACGUAGGAAUCUACCUUGUAGUGGGGGAUAACCCGGGGAAACUCGGGCUAAUACCGCAUAAUCUUUACGGAGCAAAGAGGGCCUCUGAAUAUGCACUUGCUAAAAGAUGAGCCUACGUCGGAUUAGCUAGUUGGUGGGGUAAAGGCCUACCAAGGCGACGAUCCGUAGCUGGUCUGAGAGGAUGAUCAGCCACACUGGGACUGAGACACGGCCCAGACUCCUACGGGAGGCAGCAGUGGGGAAUAUUGGACAAUGGGCGAAAGCCUGAUCCAGCAACGCCGUGUGUGUGAAGAAGGCCUUAGGGUUGUAAAGCACUUUCAGUGGGGAAGAAAAGUUCAAGGCUAAUACCCUUGAAUCUUGACGUUACCCACAGAAGAAGCACUGGCUAACUCUGUGCCAGCCGCCGCAGUAA